AUUGAGCGCUGGCGGCAGGCUUAACACAUGCAAGUCGAGCGGGGUGAUGGUGCUUGCACUAUCACUUAGCGGCGGACGGGUGAGUAAUGCUUAGGAAUCUGCCUAUUAGUGGGGGACGACAUCUCGAAAGGGAUGCUAAUACCGCAUACGUCCUACGGGAGAAAGCAGGGGAUCACUUGUGACCUUGCGCUAAUAGAUGAGCCUCAGUCGUAUUAGCUAGUUGGUGGGGUAAAGGCCUACCACGGCGACGAUCUGUAGCGGGUCUGAGAGGAUGAUCCGCCACACUGGGACGUAGACACGGCCCAGACUCCUACGGGAGGCAGCAGUGGGGAAUAUUGGACAAUGGGGGGAACCCUGAUCCAGCCAUGCCGCGUGUGUGAAGAAGGCCUUAUGGUUGUAAAGCACUUUAAGCGAGGAGGAGGCUCUUUUGGUUAAUACCCAAGAUGAGUGGACGUUACUCGCAGAAUAAGCACCGGCUAACUCUGUGCCAGCCGCCGCGGUAA
rnacentral:rRNA from 1 species